rnacentral:lncRNA from 1 species
UAUGCCCGUCUUAAUAGCGAUUCGCAAAAGAUUCAUUUUUGUUGUUGUCCGCUUUAGGCCCUUCAAAACUGAAGGCCGUCCCUGCCUCCAUCUACAAACUCAAACAAAAAACAACACCAAACAUAUAAAUCGAUAGGCAAAAAGGAGAUAUUUAAAAAUAAAAAAAAUAAGAGAUGAUGACAGCGUGAUUGUGAAUUGAAAAAAAAAUUACUUAUCGGUACGUAAUAGGAGACGGUGAUUCCAUUAUUUCAGGUGGCGAUGGUGUUUUCAGAAUGGGCUAUGGACAUCGAGGACAGAUCUUUGUAGUAAAGACCGAUGGAUAUUUGACUCUUCCACGACCUCCGCUCCGGAUGUAGAGAAAAUUGCUUUUGAUCUGCUUAAUGAGGUUUGUGUUUUGAGUUAGUGUUUUGUUUUGAGGAAUUUUACUAGUGUGUUUUUGUUUGUUGAUUAAUUGAAAGUUUAAGGUUGAUAAAUAAUCAUCAUGUGUAAUUUGAUAUGAAUAGAUUUAUAUUUGGAUGAGGUUGGUUGAACAAAUUCCUCCUGUUGUUCUUUUUGAGGGGAGGUAAAAUGGGUUUGUUUAUUUUUUGUGGGUGAUAUGUUUUGUUAAAUUUGAGGGAGAUUAGAGGGUAUUAAGGUCAUUAGAACAAUAUUUGUUAUUACUAAAUAUCACUUCACUCGCUUUUUGGCGAGUGGAAUGUAAUUGCUGUCAAAAUGGAUGGAAAUGAGUUAACUUGAAGAUGAAUG